GAUACUGAUAUUAUUACCGAAUAGGUCAUGCAUCAUCAGUUUCUAUUUUAAAAUUCUUUUUCUUUCCAUCCACUUCUCACGAAGAGAAGCAUUGAGGAAACUGAAAAAAAAAUUCAUCAUAUUAAAUAUAAACCUUAACACAUUGGUUCAACGGCUUACAAAUUAAAAAAAAUGAAUUCCAGAAAGAUUGUUCUCGCCCUCAUUCUAGUCUGUGUUUUGGUAUGUGCAUAUUCUGAAGCUGCUGAAGAGAUGCCUGAAACAAUGCAUCAUUCAAGAAAAAAAAGAGCCCUUUUUGGUGAACUCUUCAGUCUUGUUGGUCAGUUCUAUCAGCUUUUCAAAGAUAUGGCUGAUAUUCCGAUAGAUAUUUAUCAAAACACUUUGCAACAAAUAAUUUUUUGACUAUGAAACUACUAGUCAUAAUAUGGUUUAUGGCCAUACUUUGUCUUUUUAUUUAAAUGAAAUUUCAAUUCAGCAAUUCUGUUUCCUUGUUACGCAAGGUCUUGUUUCAAACUCAGAAUGAUUUUCUUUUAUUAAAUAAAUGAUGAAAAAUAAUA